rnacentral:rRNA from 1 species
UACAGAGGUCUCGAGCGUUAGGCGGAAUCACUGGGCUUAAAAGCGUGUGUAGGUGGAUGCCUAAGUACCUUGUGAAAUCCCACAGCUUAACUGUGGAACUGCUUGGUAUACUGGGUGUCUUGAGUCACUCAGGGGCGAGCGGAACAAAUGGUGGAGCGGUGAAAUGCGUAGAUAUCAUUUGGAACGCCAAUGGUGAAAACAGCUCGCUGGGGGUGCACUGACACUGAGACACGAAAGCCAGGGGAGCGAACGGGG